ACUCUUUCUUUCUCCCACGCUCACAUACAUAGAUAUACAUUGUACAUCAAUUUAUAAAUAAAUACGUGCGGCGAUAUAUAAAACCUCCAAGACCAUCCUUGUCUGUUUUACUGUACAAUUCCGAUUUCGUAGUAGACACAAAUCACUAGCCAAGAUGAAACUAACAAACUUUCUUGUGAUCUUGAUGUUAGUAAUAUUGGCAGUUUGUGCACAUGCUGCUCCAAAGAAGCGCGGAUUCCCUCAGUUCCCUGGCUACGGAACAUUCAAUCCCAAGGGCAAGCUGCCUGUACCAUUUCCAAAAUUCUAACAUCUGAGACACGAAGGGAUAAUUUAUUACUAAAAUAAUUUGCGAUUGAUAACAACAAUUUGUCUUUAAAAAAUAAAUAGUAUAAUAUAACGAGAAGCUGUUAAAUAAUACUGACUUAUGUAGUUUAUUCACAUGUCCCUUUAUAAUAUCUCAGCAAAUAGAAUGGAAAGCGUAAAUUCUUUAUUUAAAAUGGUAUUCGUACUUAUUUUAAAUCACGUAAUAAAGUACCUCUGAAAUCCUUUUCACUGUCGCAUCCAUGACAUUUCAAUUUUCUAGUAUCAUAGUGAUAUGUUUUUAAAUUCCUGCAAUACGAUAAAAUUCUCGAAGAUAUUUAACCACGUAAGGCGAUCAAGACUCGAAGAAAUGUCUAAAGAAUUUAAUUCAAGAGGCAUUUCCCUUUUCGCGUAAACGAAACCUAUUUCAAUUAAAUCUUUACUCAAAUGGAAAACUAUGAUUGCAAGA